CUAACAAGGAUUCCCCCAGUAACGGCGAGUGAAGCGGGAUGAGCUCAAAUUUGAAAUCUCCGAUGCUUGCAUCGGCGAGUUGUAGUUGCGAGAAGCACUUUCUAGGUGGAUCGGGUACGCCUAAGUUGCUUGGAACAGCACGUCGCAGAGGGUGACAACCCCGUCUGUGGCGUGCCCGGCCGCUGACGAUGUGCUUUCGAAGAGUCGGGUUGUUUGGGAAUGCAGCCCAAAAUGGGUGGUAAACUCCAUCUAAAGCUAAAUAUUGGCGUGAGACCGAUAGCGAACAAGUACCGUGAGGGAAAGAUGAAAAGAACUUUGAAAAGAGAGUUAAAAAGUACGUGAAACCGUUGAAAGGGAAACGAAUGGACUCAGCAAUGCGCUGUUUGAGAUUCAGCCGGUCGGCGGGAUCGGCUCGGGGUUUGCGGAUCUGAAUGGACCGCGGUCCUGGGCUCGUUUCUCCCGGCCGUCGCACUUCUCUUGGGCGCGCGUCAACGUCGGUUGGGACUGGGUGUGAAAGGUGCCGGGAAGGUGGGCGAGGCAGCCCGGUUCUCUCAUGGCUCGGGUCCGACUGAGGAGUUUGCAGCGCAUGCCUCCUGUGGCUAGGGUCCCGUCCACCCGGCCGGUUGUCGAAUGCGGUGGACUGCUUGCAGUGCUCCGCGGCUGCUGCCGGUCGUCUGGGUGGUGAUCUCGUACCAUGCGCUUUGGAUGUUGGCGGUCAUAUGGGUCC
rnacentral:rRNA from 1 species